CAGUCGCCACGGUAAAACGUAGGUGGCAAGCGUUGUCCGGAAUUAUUGGGCGUAAAGGGCUCGCAGGCGGUUUCUUAAGUCUGAUGUGAAAGCCCCCGGCUCAACCGGGGAGGGUCAUUGGAAACUGGGAAACCUGAGUGCAGAAGAGGAGAGUGGAAUUCCACGUGUAGCGGUGAAAUGCGUAGAGAUGUGGAGGAACACCAGUGGCGAAGGCGACUCUCUGGUCUGUAACUGACGCUGAGGAGCGAAAGCGUGGGGAGCGAACAGGAUUAGAUACCCGCGUAGUCCCUGUCUCUUAUAC
rnacentral:rRNA from 1 species